rnacentral:tRNA from 1 species
GUGGUUUUAGUUUAAUCGAAAAACGCUUGCUUUGCAAGCAAGAAUUCUGAGUUAAAAUCUUAGAAGCUACA